GUUUUUGUAGUUGAAUUACAACAAUGGUUUUUCGUAUCAUAGGUUAUGGUUAGAGU
rnacentral:tRNA from 1 species